UUUGGGGUUUCAAAAUCUCGAAUGUUUUUUUAUAAACGGAUCGAUCGAUGGAUUUAUGUCCAAAAACGCAUCGAUCGAUCACUAAGAUGGACCAAAGCGUAACAAUGUGAUCGAUCGAUGGGUAUAUGUCCAAAAACGCAUCGAUCGAUCACUAGUUCGUCGGAAUUUCCUCGGAAUUUUGUAAAAUCCCUAUAAUAUUUCCUCGGAAUUCAUCGGUUUUUUCCGAGGAACACAUUUUCCUCGGAAUUUCCUCGGAAUAUUC
rnacentral:lncRNA from 1 species